GAGACUCUGUGCGCGUGCAUAUCAAUAAGCGGAGGAAAAGAAACUAACAAGGAUUCCCUUAGUAACGGCGAGUGAAGCGGGAAGAGCUCAAAUUUGAAAUCUUCAAGGUUUGACCUUGACGAAUUGUAGUUUAAAGAAGUGUUUUCGGUUAGAGGAGUUUAGGUAAAAGUUCUUUGGAAUAGGACAUCAUAGAGGGUGAGAAUCCCGUAUUUGACCUAUUAUUUCUAGCUUUGUGAUACACUUUCAAAGAGUCGGAUUGUUUGGGAAUGCAGUCCAAAAUGGGUGGUAAAUUUCAUCUAAAGCUAAAUAUUGGCGAGAGACCGAUAGCGAACAAGUACCGUGAGGGAAAGAUGAAAAGAACUUUGAAAAGAGAGUUAAACAGUACGUGAAAUUGUCAAAAGGGAAGCGUUUGACACCAGUGUUGCUUUUUCCGAAAAUCAAUUAAAAUGAUAUGCCAGGAUUUAGUUUCAUGACCUUAUAAGCUUGCAAUUCUUAGUUUUCUUGGGUCUCUUCUUGAUGCACUUUUCGGUUAACAAGUCAACAUCAAUUUCCUUUGUUGUAAAAAGGUUAAGAGGAAGGUGGCUUUCACUUUCGGUUGAAGUGUUUAUAGCCUUUUAUCUCUGCAGUCGGGAGAGAUUGAGGUCUGCAGCGUAGAUCCUUCGGGGCUAGAUACAUUUAUGCUAAGUUAUAGCCUUUUCAUAGACAACUUGUUGACUAUGUUUAGUCAUUGUAGCUUACUCGCUGACGGCUAUUUUACCUACGCUUAGGAUGUUGAAGUCAUCGUAUCGCGC
rnacentral:rRNA from 1 species